AUACCUUUCUCGGCCUUUUGGGUAAGAUUAAGUGUAGUAUCUAGUCUUAUUAGUUUAAUAUCGUAAAAAUAACACGGUAUAGUUAGUUUUUGGAUUGGUUAUUUAAA
rnacentral:snRNA from 1 species